rnacentral:rRNA from 1 species
AGCAGCCGCGGUAAUUCCAGCUCCAAUAGCGUAUAUUAAAGUUGUUGCAGUUAAAAGCUCGUAGUUGAAUUUCGGGAUCAAAUUGUCGGUCGUGCCUCGGUACGAACUGGUAUUAUUGGUUCCUCCCUUCUGAAGAACCGCGAUGUCAUUAAUUUGGUGUCGUGGGGAAUCAGGACUGUUACUUUGAAAAAAUUAGAGUGUUUAAAGCAGGCUUACGCUUGAAUACAUUAGCAUGGAAUAAUGAAAUAGGACGUUUGAUUCUAUUUUGUUGGUUUCUAGGAUCGACGUAAUGAUUAAUAGGGAUAGUUGGGGGGCAUUAGUAUUCAAUUGUCAGAGGUGAAAAUUCUUGGAUUUAUUGAAGACUAACUACUGCGAAAGCAUUUGCCAAGGAUGUCUUCAUUAAUCAAGAACGAAAGUUAGGGGAUCGAAGACGAUCAGAUACCGUCGUAGUCUUAACCAUAAACUAUGCCGACUAGGGAUCGGAUGAUGUUAAUUUUUUAAUGAACUCAUUCGGCGCCUU